rnacentral:lncRNA from 1 species
GAAGCUUAUUGAUGUUAACUAAAUUUAUUUACUAGUAAUUCACAUAAGUUUGUCACUGAAGCCAACAACUCCCUGAGUUGCUGCACGCGCUUUUCCCCUUGGUGUCCACGAUGCUGAAGAAGACGGGAUGCUCACUUCACCAGAGAAGGACCGGCUGCUUCAAGUGCAAGGUCAGAGACCCAAGUUACUGGGGAAAAGUGACACAAUGCAUCUUCUGUGAACUCCAAAGAUCCAUUCAUUUACCACUGAGAGGUUCCUGAAUGAUGACCAUCUCCUGCAGGGCCUCAUUCCAGGAGUUCACCAACUGGAACACCACCUUGAAAAUGUCUUCUUUCUAUUCAGACAGUUUGGAGCAAUCACCAU